UUUCUAUGGGAAAAUGAGUUUCAAACUCCAAACGACUGACUUGAAAACACAGUCCUGGAACUCAGCCUGCGUAUAAAUCAGGGUCUGUCUGUAACUGUAAAAAUUGUUUAUUUUGAAAGUGGACCUAACUGGGCUUUCCUUUCCUCACUCUUGUUCUUUCUCUUACGUUUUUUCUUUUCGUUAUGCUAUGCAAAGAUCCCCAGACUUCCUCUUCUAGCUAAUUGGCAAAAACCACAUUGUCCCCUAGCUGAGUAUACAUUUUUGUAAAUACCCCC
rnacentral:lncRNA from 10 species